rnacentral:sRNA from 1 species
AGACCCUACAAGUUUUAAUUUAGGGGACUGUCCCUGGUGAUGGUGUGCAAGCUUGGCCCUUUGGGGAUCCGAGAAGCCUGAAGUCGCUAAAUGGUCGCCCACCUUAAACACCACGGGUCU